UUUCCGUAGGUGAACCUGCGGAAGGAUCAUUACUGAAUAAACCUGAUGUGGUUGUAGCUGGCCCUUUCGGGAUCAUGUGCACACCUGUCGUCUUUAUCUUUCCACCUGUGCACCUUUUGUAGACCUGGAUGUAACACUUUCCGAGGCAACUCGGUCGGGAGGAAUGCUGUCAGCUUUCCUUGAAUGUCCAGGCCUAUGUUUUCAUAUACCCCAAAGAAUGUAACAGAAUGUAUUAUUGGGCCUUGUGCCUAUAAACUAUAUACAACUUUCAGCAACGGAUCUCUUGGCUCUC
rnacentral:misc_RNA from 1 species